CAUAUGCUGGAAUGCUUUAUGCGUCAAAUGGAUUCGUCUGCCCAAGGAUGGGUCUGCGGCCUAUCAGGUAGUAGUGGGUGUAAUGUACCUACUAGCCGACAACGGGUACGGGUUGUGAGAGCAAGAGCCCGGAGAUGGAUUCUGAGACAUGAAUCCAGGCCCUACGGGGCGCAGCAGGCGCGAAAACUUUACAAUGCGGGAAACCGUGAUAAGGGGACACCGAGUGCCAGCAUCAUAUGCUGGCUGUCCAGGUGUGUAAAAUACACCUGUUAGCAAGGGCCGGGCAAGACCGGUGCCAGCCGCCGCGGUAACACCGGCGGCCCGAGUGGUGAUCGUGAUUAUUGGGUCUAAAGGGUCCGUAGCCGGUUUGGUCAGUCCUCCGGGAAAUCUGACAGCUCAACUGUUAGGCUUUCGGGGGAUACUGCCAGACUUGGAACCGGGAGAGGUAAGAGGUACUACAGGGGUAGGAGUGAAAUCUUGUAAUGCCCUGUGGGACCACCUGUGGCGAAGGCGUCUUACCAGAACGGGUUCGACGGUGAGGGACGAAAGCUGGGGGCUACGAACCGGAUUAGAUACCCGGGUAGUCCCAGCCGUAAACGAUGCUCGCUAGGUGUCAGGCAUGGCGCGACCGUGUCUGGUGCGACAGGGAAGCC
rnacentral:rRNA from 1 species